UUGAUCAUGGCUCGAGGACGAACGCUGGCGGCGUGCUUAACACAUGCAAGUCGAACGAGGAUUAUGUUGGAAGGGCUUCGGCCUGGAAGGCGUAAUUCGAGUGGCGGACGGGUGAGUAACGCGUGAACAAUCUGUCCCGGACAGGGGAAUAACACUUGGAAACAGGUGCUAAUACCGCAUAAGACCACGCCCUCGCAUGGGGGAGGGGUAAAAGGAGGAAUCCGGUUCGGGGUGAGUUCGCGUCCGAUUAGAUAGUUGGUGAGGUAACGGCCCACCAAGUCGACGAUCGGUAGCCGACCUGAGAGGGUGAUCGGCCACAUUGGAACUGAGAGACGGUCCAAACUCCUACGGGAGGCAGCAGUGGGGAAUAUUGGGCAAUGGGCGAAAGCCCUGACCCAGCAACGCCGCGUGAGUGAAGAAGGCUUUCGGGUUGUAAAGCUCUGUUAUAGGGGACGAAGGAAGUGACGGUACCCUAUAAGGAAGCCCCGGCUAACUACGUGCCAGCAGCAGC
rnacentral:rRNA from 1 species